CUGCGCUAGGCGGGGAGCUAGCGGUGCCCUGUUACCUACAAUCCGCUACAGUAGGGCUGAAUGUUGCAGGCGGUUUUAUGUGUGGAAAGCCGUGAAUCGGCAAGGAGUGUUGAUACCAAGGUCUUGUGCAACGUGAAUCUGUGAAUCGUGUCAGGGUGGGAACACAGCAGCACUAAGCAGCACGAGCGUGUGCCACGAGGUAGCUUUGGAGUAGCCACCUACCGGGAUACCGUUUCGGCAUGUACUGCCAACUGCAAAUGCGCAG
rnacentral:SRP_RNA from 1 species